rnacentral:rRNA from 1 species
AGAGUUUGAUCCUGGCUCAGGAUGAACGCCGUUUGGUGUGCCUAAUACAUGCAAGUCGUACGCACUGGCCCAACUGAUUGAUGGUGCUUGCACCUGAUUGACGUUGGAUCACCAGUGAGUGGCGGACGGGUGAGUAACACGUAGGUAACCUGCCCCGGAGCGGGGGAUAACAUUUGGAAACAGAUGCUAAUACCGCAUAACAACAAAAGCCACAUGGCUUUUGUUUGAAAGAUGGCUUUGGCUAUCACUCUGGGAUGGACCUGCGGUGCAUUAGCUAGUUGGUAAGGUAACGGCUUACCAAGGCGAUGAUGCAUAGCCGAGUUGAGAGACUGAUCGGCCACAAUGGAACUGAGACACGGUCCAUACUCCUACGGGAGGCAGCAGUAGGGAAUCUUCCACAAUGGGCGCAAGCCUGAUGGAGCAACACCGCGUGAGUGAAGAAGGGUUUCGGCUCGUAAAGCUCUGUUGUUGGAGAAGAACGUGCGUGAGAGUAACUGUUCACGCAGUGACGGUAUCCAACCAGAAAGUCACGGCUAACUACGUGCCAGCAGCCGCGGUAAUACGUAGGUGGCAAGCGUUAUCCGGAUUUAUUGGGCGUAAAGCGAGCGCAGGCGGUUGCUUAGGUCUGAUGUGAAAGCCUUCGGCUUAACCGAAGAAGUGCAUCGGAAACCGGGCGACUUGAGUGCAGAAGAGGACAGUGGAACUCCAUGUGUAGCGGUGGAAUGCGUAGAUAUAUGGAAGAACACCAGUGGCGAAGGCGGCUGUCUGGUCUGCAACUGACGCUGAGGCUCGAAAGCAUGGGUAGCGAACAGGAUUAGAUACCCUGGUAGUCCAUGCCGUAAACGAUGAGUGCUAGGUGUUGGAGGGUUUCCGCCCUUCAGUGCCGGAGCUAACGCAUUAAGCACUCCGCCUGGGGAGUACGACCGCAAGGUUGAAACUCAAAGGAAUUGACGGGGGCCCGCACAAGCGGUGGAGCAUGUGGUUUAAUUCGAAGCUACGCGAAGAACCUUACCAGGUCUUGACAUCUUGCGCUAACCUUAGAGAUAAGGCGUUCCCUUCGGGGACGCAAUGACAGGUGGUGCAUGGUCGUCGUCAGCUCGUGUCGUGAGAUGUUGGGUUAAGUCCCGCAACGAGCGCAACCCUUGUUACUAGUUGCCAGCAUUAAGUUGGGCACUCUAGUGAGACUGCCGGUGACAAACCGGAGGAAGGUGGGGACGACGUCAGAUCAUCAUGCCCCUUAUGACCUGGGCUACACACGUGCUACAAUGGACGGUACAACGAGUCGCAAGCUCGCGAGAGUAAGCUAAUCUCUUAAAGCCGUUCUCAGUUCGAACUGUAGGCUGCAACUCGCCUACACGAAGUCGGAAUCGCUAGUAAUCGCGGAUCAGCAUGCCGCGGUGAAUACGUUCCCGGGCCUUGUACUCACCGCCCGUCA